UCGAGUGAUAAUUCAGAAGAGAAGAGAGAUGUCAUAGAAUUUGGAAAGCAGUAAAAGAAACAAGUUUAGAACCCAAACGAAUGCAUUAAAGGCAGACAAGCUCAGCAGGAGAAAUAGUAAAAGAACAUGCAAGAUAGACAUGUAAGUAUCCUUGUAGAAAAACCAGUAGAAGCAAUAAAAAAAAGCAAAAAAAUAGAGAAACAUGCAUAUUAACGACGAAACAAAAGAAAAAACAAAAACACAUAUGACAUGGCAUGAACAUACAGAUUAACAUAAAGAAAAGUAGAGGAAGAAGAAUCGUUUUAGGAUUUUUUUGAAAACCCUAAAUUGGAGAGACUAAUUUUAAGAACGAAAAAUUGGGGAAAAGCAUCAAAACCUCAAGUAGAACACAGAUCAGUUAAAGAUCUAAGAAAACAAGGGAAGAUAGAACCGCGAACAGGCCUUUUAGGGUUUCUCAGAAAUACUAAGAACGAGAAGGCUCGAAAAAAUCUGGUCUUGAGCAGGUUUGGGCCAUGGCUAGGCCUUGCAAAGCUCAAACACGCUGGAACGGAGCUGGAGAAACCAAAAGAACUCAGAUCAGUGGAGGAUCUGAAUAGGCCAUGUUGAAAUCGAACAUCAUAAACCUCGAACAACCACAGUUGUGGGUGAAUUGAAGAGGGUACAAGCCGUCCAUUGCCUGGGAAGCCAUGGACGUCGGUUGAUUUGGUUGGAGAAGGCGCAAGAGACGAUUAGGGUUCUAAGGGUGUGAGAGAAUUUGAGAGGAGGAGAGAUUCCA
rnacentral:lncRNA from 1 species